CCCGGAUAACACCUAACCUGCUCCCUGGAGAAACAGUUAUUGUACUUGUAAACUAUGAAUUGCAGAAGCCUGAAGCAAACUCUAGCACAAACAACCCAUUUCUCCUACCUAUUUUUUCUUAGUUUUUUAUUACAGAAAUGAUGAAAAAUGUCCAGUGAUAUAAGUGAAAAGUGAUCUGCAUUAAGGGGAAUGGAGACCUGAAGGUUCAUACUGGAAUCUACUGAUUACUUUGCCUACUGGAGCCCAGGGGACAUGCAUUAAAGUUGCAUGUAGAACUGGCUUCUUUUUAAGAAAAAUUUCCACCCAGUGUGUUGUAAACCGGAAUUUUAGGGCCCCUAUUAUUGCAUGAGUUUUGCCACUUUCUGAGUCCGUUUAACUUGAAAUUAAACUUGCAUUUAGCCUAUACAAAAUUACCUGAAUUUUGAGUGGGUCUUAUUACAAUCCCUGGUUUUUGUUGGUUCUUUCAUGCUUUUGGCUCCACCUGUAAUGGUAGCAUAAGAUUAUACCAACGUUGAUGUUAUGAAUUUUUCAGGACAGAACUGUGUCGUUUCAGUGGUGCUAAGAUAUACCCAGGAAAGGGUAUUAGAUUUGUGCGACCUGAUUCCCAAGUGUUCCUCUUCUCCAACUCAAAAUGCAAGCGCUAGUUCCAUAACCGGUUGAAGCCUUCCAAGCUUACUAGGACGACUAUGUACAAGAAGCAACACAAGAAGGUAAUUUUGCUUGGCAGAAUUUUAAGUUUAGGAUCCUAAUGCAAAGC